rnacentral:lncRNA from 10 species
CUGACCAAAUUUUAGCAUUAGACUACGGUCGUUGGACAGGACUGAAACUUACUUUUUUUGCCUUGCUACCCAGUAACUGCGGACUUGUCUUGGGUCAUGUUCUCUAGAAGCAGAGCCCAAGAUGGGGAUUCUUGUGUACAUAAUUUAUGAAGAGUAUGUUCUCAAGAGGAACAUGUCAAGAAGUGAGACAAGUGUAGAAAAUAGGAAGGAAGGGAGCAGGAAUGAAUCAUAUAUAUCAGGGAGGGAGUGAAGAAUGUGGUUUCAGCUGGAAUCUAGUCUGAUCACGCAGGAAAUUGGAAUAAGAAUUGUACUCCAGGGAUGUCUCCCUUGAGUCAAGAGCUGGGCUUUUUGACCUUCUGUUGAGAAACCCUUCUGGGAACCAGAGUGGUUAGGAACAUGGACAUUGAAGUUAGAGCUGGAAUCGAAACUCAGUUCGAAUGCAGCCACCUUUUUGCUUUGCUGAGUGGGAAAUGCAAGAGGGAGGCUAGAGGUAAAGCUGGGCAGGCUUGAGAGUUUUUGAGAGAAAUGUUGGAAUGCUGGGGAGGAAAAAGGUUCAGGAAGGGCUGAGGAGGUUUGCCAUCUGA